AGGUGUGUGUGUGUAGGAGCCUCUGAACAGCCACACACGUGUUUUCAGUUAAUCUGGCUAAUUAGACCUCUGCUCAGGACUCUGUGGGCGUGUUUAGACUAAUUGAUUGACAUCUUCCAGAGUCUCCUGUUAGGUUUGUUGCACCUGUUAGGGCGGGACAAAUUACACCUUUAUCAUUCUUAUUGGUAGAUGAAGAUUUGUGACCUAAAUGUCUCAUCAUGGCACCUUCAACCUGAGCAGGUUGAGGUC